rnacentral:rRNA from 1 species
UAGGGAAUCUUCGGCAAUGGACGGAAGUCUGACCGAGCAACGCCGCGUGAGUGAAGAAGGUUUUCGGAUCGUAAAGCUCUGUUGUUAGAGAAGAACGUUGGUAGGAGUGGAAAAUCUACCAAGUGACGGUAACUAACCAGAAAGGGACGGCUAACUACGUGCCAGCAGCCGCGGUAAUACGUAGGUCCCGAGCGUUGUCCGGAUUUAUUGGGCGUAAAGCGAGCGCAGGCGGUUCUUUAAGUCUGAAGUUAAAGGCAGUGGCUUAACCAUUGUACGCUUUGGAAACUGGAGGACUUGAGUGCAGAAGGGGGGAGUGGAAUUCCAUGUGUAGCGGUGAUAUGCGUAGAUAUAUGGAGGAACACCGGUAGCGAAAGCGGCUCUCUGGUCUGUAACUGACGCUGAGGCUCGAAAGCGUGGGGAGCAAACAGG